rnacentral:rRNA from 1 species
GACGAACGCUGGCGGCGUGCUUAACACAUGCAAGUCGAACGGAAAGGCCCUGCUUUGGUGGGGUGCUCGAGUGGCGAACGGGUGAGUAACACGUGAGUAACCUGCCCUUGACUUUGGGAUAACUUCAGGAAACUUGGGCUAAUACCGGAUAGGAGCUCCUGCUGCAGGGUGGGCGUGGGAAGGUUUAGGCGGUUGGGGAUGGACUCGCGGCUUAUGAGAUUGUUGGUGGGGUAGUGGCUGACCAAGGCUUUGACGGGUAGCCGGCCUGAGAGGGUGACCGGACACAUUGGGAUUGAGCUACGGCACAGACUACUAUGGGAGGCAGCAGUGGGGAAUAUUGUACAAUGGGAUGGAGCCUGAUGCAGACCAGCAGUGCGCGGGAUGACGGCAUGCGGGUAGUGAACCGCAUUCGCCUGAGACGAAGCGAGAGUGACGGUAACGGGUAAAGAAGCACCGGCUAACUACGUG